AAGAGUUUAGGCAGGGAGGGGCCCCUGGGUGGCUCAGUCGGUUAAGCUUCUGACUCUGGCUUUCGGCUCAGGUCAUGAGCUCACAGUUCGUGAGUUUGAGCCCCGAGUCGGUCUCUUGUGCUGAUGGUGUGGGGUCUGCUUGGGAUUCUCUCUCUCCCUCUCUCUCUCUCUGCCCCUCCCCCGCUCAUGCUCUCUAUCUCUUGAAAUAAAUAAAUAAACUUAAAAAAAAAGAGUUUAGGCAGGGAGACGUUGGUCAUGUCUGUGUCGCAGGAGGACUGCUCGGGCUACGGGAUGGAGGAUGGGUGCAGGGGGGAGGUGAGAGGUGAUGGGGCCCCCUCGCUUUUUGAGAGUUCUUCUUUAGAUCCUAUUUCCUUCUGAGAGUGUGCUGAUUACUCAGCACCACAAGCUGGGGAGCACCUGCCAUUGUGCUCCCAUUACCGAUGGUGGUGGUGGGGACAGUUUGGAUGACAGGCUGCCCUUUGUCUCAGAAGGUCAUGCCUGACCCCCCAUUUGGCGUAGUUGUAAUCUUCGCUGAUUGCUGAUCACGGAUUUGUCUUGCAGCCGUCAGCUCUUGGUGUUCCUAGAGAGUUAAGGGGGCUGGAAUUUGUUGUCCGACAUCGUGGUUCAAGUCCGUGGGAACUGGGGCACCAGGCUUGAAUCUGUCAUGCCUCCGGUUCCUCGUUAGUAAACCGGGCACGGCGGUAGCCCUCUGCCCUGCACGCCCAGGACGGUAGUGAGAAGGACCCGCUUGUAAAUGUGCAACGUUUGGCUGACGUGUUUGUCGUGUUGAGAAGCUGUUAACCCAAGUGCCGCUCCCGGGCUCUAGGAGACCAUACGGUUAGGAAUGUGUGUGCUUUAAUCUUGGCUUUGUGGUUUCCUCACCGCCUGUCUCAGCCUCAGUUACUUAGUUUAUAGCAAGGGGGUCAUGGUAGGUGCCUACCUCAGGGUGUAUUGAAGCGAAAGCUCUUUUCAAACCACAGCUGUGGACGGGCCCUUCCUUCUUUUGGGAAAGGGACACAGGUCUUGGAGCGACACGUCCUAUGACUCGAUGGCUGCGUUUGGAGCGCAGAUCGGCCGCCCCCUCCAUCCAAGGGCGUGGACUCCACGGGUGGCGUGUGACCUUGCCUCGAUCCGUCGUAGCAGGGGCUGUGGCGCCCUGCCCAAUCCCCCAGCCGUCCGUGCUGUCCUUCUGCAAGGUCCCGCAAGCCUCCGACGGAGGGCUCUCUCUUGCUUUGCACCAGGUACAGGCUGGAGCUGGUGUCGCUGAGAGCAGCCCUCAGCUAGCAACGGAUGCAAGGUGACAGCUAAACACGGCUUCUCUGACCCUUGGGGGGGCCACCCGUGAGCCGUGUUCCACACCGUCUCCCGGGGGUGUCCAGUGCCACCGAGCCCCGGGUGCCCACGAUGACAACCCGUUUGUUAACACUCUCUGUACCGGCUCCCUUCCCUCCCCCUGUCAUCCCCAUCCCCUUAGCUUUGCCUCCUGGGGGCACUUCCCAAAUGAGUCACUCAAAUCCUCGUCUCAGCUCUGCCUCUUGGUGAACCCAGUUCGGGACACCCGAGAUGGUGGGGGGGUGAGGGAUAUGCUUCCCCCCGGAAACGAGGGAAGAGAUGCGAGGAGGCUUUUGAGAGACGGGGGGUCCGAGCAAGAUGGCGAGCACCCACAGGCUUAAAGACGAAAGGUGGCGACGAAGCAUUACCGGGAACGGCUGAGGUCAAGAGCACUGGUUGACUUCUAAGUCACAUGCUGUGCUGUGUAGCCACUGUCAUGGUCCUCAGACCUCCAGGAGAACUCACUCGGGUGGAACAGCACGGCACUCACGGUUGCUUUGCAGAAUCAAAAGGAAAGGCUGCAGCGUUCUUUGGGUUAGCUCGGGGCAGAGGGAAGACUCCAGUGACGGGGGGGGGGGGGCGAGACCCGGAUGAGACAGAGAAUUCGGCCGCGUGAUGUCUAGGAGAAAUAGAAGUCCCUGCAGGUAUUGUUGGGGUUGCGGUGCCCCCCACCACCUGUGGCAUACACGCUGGGGCCAUUUUGCUUACCUAGUAAGAGCAGGGUGAAGCCACAAGAUUGGACAACGUGGGGACACCCAGGUGCCUGCCAACAGGAGGUUAUGUGCGUGAAGCACCCAGCUCAGUGCUUGGUUCGCCCUCAUCACUCAGGAGACGGUAGAGAGGGCCCCUUCUGAGCAAGGUCGUAUGCUGUGCCAAGCAGGUGCUCCAAGAGCAUGAAAACUUGGCCUCGUAGAACCGGAUUUGAAAUAGUUGGGCCAACCCGGCGGGCUGAACCCCAACCCAUCCCCUGUCCUCGCCAAGUGCCUGGGGAUCCUCUCCAUGCCUCACCUUCUCCUUUGUUAAGCAGGAAACUCCAGCACAAAAUACGUGUUCUUUUGGUCGAUUUUCUGGACAUCCUUCAUUUGGGAGCAUCCAAAUCUCACACUCUGGGGGCAUUUUAUUUCUAAUUUGUGGCUAGACAUAUAUAGCCACAAAUAGGACUGCCGGUGAAAGUUGCUAAACGACCAGGAGGCAACUAUUUUCUGUUUUUCCUUUUGUCUUGAAGUUGUGGUAUCUUCCUGCCCGCCACAGGGCCUUUGCACACACCGUUCUCUCUGCUCAGAAUGCCAUCCUGCGGACACCACCCCUCCUUGCCGAGUUAAUUCCUACCUGUCUUUUGCGUCUCAGCCCGGGUCUGGCUUAUGAAGGAAAAUCCUCCUUGAUUCCGGGUUUCCUCUCUUACGGACUGUGUUCUUUCCCUCAACCUCAGCCUAUGUGAUUAUGUGAAUGGCGCCCGUGAGCCAGGAAGCACUACGAGGCAGGAACGGCGUCUGAUUUUCUCCCUAUUGUACUGCCAGCACCAGCACAGCUGGCCCAGAGAAGGUGAAUCAUUGCUUAAAAUGCAAGCAUUCCCAAGUCCUGGCUCAGCUUCCCCCCUCCCCACCCGUGUGCCUGAGGAGCAGUAAUUGUGCGGGGAUGCAAGUGCUCAUUACAUGAACAGAGGGCAGUGUGGGACAUAAAUCUAGAAAAUUGAAAGAUUGGCUCCUUCCAGGAACGGGAACCAUGGUCACCAGCAACUCCUGCCUCACAUGUUCCCUGAUUCAUCGUCUUCCUUUGGUUCUGAUUGGCCAAACCUCAGGGGGUGACUUAUCCUCUGGAGUUGGGUUAUGCCCUGCGCAUGUGGCCAGGGGGGCGGGAGCAUCCUCUGACUGACAGCCAGGGCUGCAUGCUGGCCUGGGGGGAGGAGGGUUCUCCAGAUGAAGGGCUUUCUCUUAGUGGGGCAUAGAUGGGCACUGAGCAGACACAACAAUAUGCAUCGGCCACGGUUGUGUGUGACAGUGUCCCUUUGGUACAAGGGCACCCGCCAUUUCUCAGAUUCACGAGCUGACCUUCAGGGCCCAGGUUAGCAACCUUCGUCCCCACCCCCCUUUCUGAAAUGAAGGGGUAGCAUCCCAGGAGGACGACAACCUGUCUCUCCACCUUAAGUCGCCCUCCCCUCUGAUCCCGUCAUGUGAUGAAGGGGUCACCAUGAGCUACAGUCUUAGCUGGAGGGCAUGAGAGGAGAGGAGGGGCCUGACUACCUCACUGAGGUCUCAAUGAAGAUCGGCAAUAAGGAAUCAUUACAAAUGCUCUGCUCAAGAUGCAUUGUAAAGAGUGAUUCACUCUGUGCCCGACAUUUCCUGCUAGCCCUGAAAGCUAAGCAGGGGCUGCCUGUGCCGCAAUAAAUGCCACUAUAUGAGCAUUA